UACGAAGGGGGCUAGCGUUGCUCGGAAUCACUGGGCGUAAAGGGUGCGUAGGCGGGUCUUUUAAGUCAGGGGGUGAAAUCCCGGGGCUCAACCCCGGAACUGCCUUUGAUACUGGUAGUCUUGAGUUCGAGAGAGGUGAGUGGAAUUCCGAGUGUAGAGGUGGAAUUCGUAGAUAUUAGGAAGAACACCAGUGGCGAAGGCGGCUUACUGGUCCGGAACUGACGCUGAGGUGCGAAAGCGUGGGGAGCAAACAGG
rnacentral:rRNA from 1 species